rnacentral:rRNA from 1 species
CGGUGUGUGAGAAGGCUUCGGGUUGUAAAGCACUUUAAGUCGGGAGGAACGCCUGUACGUGAAUAAUGUGCAGGGAUGACGUUACCGACAGAAUAAGCACCGGCAAACUCCGUGCCAGCAGCCGCGGUAAUACGGAGGGUGCGAGCGUUAAUCGGAAUUACUGGGCGUAAAGCGCACGUAGGCGGUCAUGUAAGUGGGAUGUGAAAUCCCCGGGCUUAACCUGGGACUUGCAUCUCAGACUGCAUGACUAGAGUAUGGGAGAGGGUGGUGGAAUUUCCGGUGUAGCGGUGAAAUGCGUAGAGAUCGGAAGGAACAUCAGUGGCGAAGGCGGCCACCUGGCCUAAUACUGACGCUGAGGUGCGAAAGCGUGGGGAUCAAACAGGAUUAGAUACCCUGGUAGUCCACGCUGUAAACGAUGAGAACUAGCCGUUGGAUUCCUUAGAGGAUUUAGUGGCGCAGCUAACGCGAUAAGUUCUCCGCCUGGGGAGUACGGCCGCAAGGUUAAAACUCAAAUGAAUUGACGGGGGCCCGCAACAAGCGGGUGGAGUAUGGUGGUUAAAUUCGACGCGACGCGAAAAAUCUUAC